UGCCAGCAGCCGCGGUAAUACGGAGGGUACAAACGUUGUUCGGAAUUACUGGGCAUAAAGCGCACGUAGGCGGCUCGAUAAGUCAGUUGUGAAAGCCCUCGGCUCAACCGGGGAACUGCAAUUGAUACUGUCGAGCUCGAGGGUGGUUGGGGUGAGUGGAACUCCUGGUGGAGCGGUGAAAUGCGUAGAUAUCAGGAGGAACACCAGUGGCGAAAGCGGCUCACUGGCUCGAUACUGACGCUGAGGUGCGAAAGUGUGGGGAGCAAACAGGAUUAGAUA
rnacentral:rRNA from 1 species